CUUAUCAAAAAACAAAACUAGUUCCGCCGAUAAAUCGACAGAUCUUCGUUCGUGAUUCCGUUGGUUUCUUGGUAAUUAUGAUGACCAAAUGAUAAACAAUUUAUUUCAAAUUGCAGCUGCCGCUGUCCCGCAAAAGGGUGCUCAACUUUUCAAUUUCUGCAGCAAAUUACGAGAGAUUCUCCAACCGCGGUAACGACCCAAACUUCCUAUUGCUCGCCCAUCAUCUCAUCCGUCAAGAGGAACCGUUCAACGACCGGGUUAUCUGGAACAUCACAGCAGUGCUCCGUGAAACAGAACUUUUCGGAUGAUUGUUAGAGAGGUGUGGGUGUUUCCGCCGAGUUCCAGCAUUCGGCAUCCUCUCUUCUGUCACGGUUGACAGCAAUCCGGGGUUCCGGAAUCGACCAGGCCUAAAGGAUUCUGGGCAAACUGAUCCAUGAUGAAGGUGGCAUGCUGUACCUGCUGUACGAUCUGGUGAGCGAAAACAAAAACAACGAUUUUGACGUCGCCCCACACGACUCAAUCAGCGCUACAUUACCAAUGAAAAAUGCCACAUUCUAUCGAAAACCAAACUGCUGCGACAAGGCCGCCGCUAAACAUGACAACGACUUCGGUCAGACUACACGAGUGACAAACGCAUCCCCGUAAAGCAGCAGAGCAAAAUACACGAAGAUCUUCCGAUCUGAAAAAAGGAGUCUGCUUCCAGUUUCCAGAGCAGCACGCACCAGUGGCUUUGGGCUGUCGAUCCUGUUCCAGAAGCUGGCUAGGUGUCUCGUCCAAAUUCUAACGGAACCGCAAAUAUUGUGUCUUUGUCGGAAGUCAAAGAAAAAGUGCCCAGCUCCAGCGGCAGAACAAAGCUUCGAAGGCAGCAGAGGUCAAGCGGCUCGACAUGCCGCCACCUUCCUGCACGAACAGCUCAAACGGAUGGCCCCCAAAAACGAUCAGGGCUUCAAGAAAUUCAAGGAGCAAUUGCUGUUCAGGGACGCCAUCUUCGUAGAGGUCGGUGCUGAUCCGGGUGUGCUCAAUGCAAUUCCUGA